GGGAAAGCCCACAAGAACUGCUAACUCACUACCCCAUGUAUAACAACAUGGCUUUCUCA
rnacentral:tRNA from 5 species